GAGUCGGCCUGCGCGGAAGAUGUAACGGGGCUAAACCAUGCACCGAAGCUGCGGCAGCGACACUAUGUGUUGUUGGGUAGGGGAGCGUUCUGUAAGCCUGUGAAGGUGGCCUGUGAGGGUUGCUGGAGGUAUCAGAAGUGCGAAUGCUGACAUAAGUAACGAUAAAGCGGGUGAAAAGCCCGCUCGCCGGAAGACCAAGGGUUCCUGUCCAACGUUAAUCGGGGCAGGGUGAGUCGACCCCUAAGGCGAGGCCGAAAGGCGUAGUCGAUGGGAAACAGGUUAAUAUUCCUGUACUUGGUGUUACUGCGAAGGGGGGACGGAGAAGGCUAUGUUGGCCGGGCGACGGUUGUCCCGGUUUAAGCGUGUAGGCUGGUUUUCCAGGCAAAUCCGGAAAAUCAAGGCUGAGGCGUGAUGACGAGGCACUACGGUGCUGAAGCGACAAAUGCCCUGCUUCCAGGAAAAGCCUCUAAGCAUCAGGUAACAUCAAAUCGUACCCCAAACCGACACAGGUGGUCAGGUAGAGAAUACCAAGGCGCUUGAGAGAACUCGGGUGAAGGAACUAGGCAAAAUGGUGCCGUAACUUCGGGAGAAGGCACGCUGAUAUGUAGGUGAAGCGACUUGCUCGUGGAGCUGAAAUCAGUCGAAGAUACCAGCUGGCUGCAACUGUUUAUUAAAAACACAGCACUGUGCAAACACGAAAGUGGACGUAUACGGUGUGACGCCUGCCCGGUGCCGGAAGGUUAAUUGAUGGGGUUAGCGGUAACGCGAAGCUCUUGAUCGAAGCCCCGGUAAACGGCGGCCGUAACUAUAACGGUCCUAAGGUAGCGAAAUUCCUUGUCGGGUAAGUUCCGACCUGCACGAAUGGCGUAAUGAUGGCCAGGCUGUCUCCACCCGAGACUCAGUGAAAUUGAACUCGCUGUGAAGAUGCAGUGUACCCGCGGCAAGACGGAAAGACCCCGUGAACCUUUACUAUAGCUUGACACUGAACAUUGAGCCUUGAUGUGUAGGAUAGGUGGGAGGCUUUGAAGUGUGGACGCCAGUCUGCAUGGAGCCGACCUUGAAAUACCACCCUUUAAUGUUUGAUGUUCUAACGUGGGCCCCUUACCGGGGUUGCGGACAGUGUCUGGUGGGUAGUUUGACUGGGGCGGUCUCCUCCUAAAGAGUAACGGAGGAGCACGAAGGUUGGCUAAUCCUGGUCGGACAUCAGGAGGUUAGUGCAAUGGCAUAAGCCAGCUUGACUGCGAGCGUGACGGCGCGAGCAGGUGCGAAAGCAGGUCAUAGUGAUCCGGUGGUUCUGAAUGGAAGGGCCAUCGCUCAACGGAUAAAAGGUACUCCGGGGAUAACAGGCUGAUACCGCCCAAGAGUUCAUAUCGACGGCGGUGUUUGGCACCUCGAUGUCGGCUCAUCACAUCCUGGGGCUGAAGUAGGUCCCAAGGGUAUGGCUGUUCGCCAUUUAAAGUGGUACGCGAGCUGGGUUUAGAACGUCGUGAGACAGUUCGGUCCCUAUCUGCCGUGGGCGCUGGAGAACUGAGGGGGGCUGCUCCUAGUACGAGAGGACCGGAGUGGACGCAUCACUGGUGUUCGGGUUGUCAUGCCAAUGGCACUGCCCGGUAGCUAAAUGCGGAAGAGAUAAGUGCUGAAAGCAUCUAAGCACGAAACUUGCCCCGAGAUGAGUUCUCCCUGACUCCUUGAGAGUCCUGAAGGAACGUUGAAGACGACGACGUUGAUAGGCCGGGUGUGUAAGCGCAGCGAUGCGUUGAGCUAACCGGUACUAAUGAACCGUGAGGCUUAACCUUACAACGCCGAAG
rnacentral:rRNA from 1 species